rnacentral:rRNA from 1 species
AGUGAACGCUGGCGGCGUGCCUAAUACAUGCAAGUCGAACGAAGUGGCGCACGGGUGAGUAAUAUAUAGUUAAUCUGCCCUACACAGAGGAACAACAGUUGGAAACGACUGCUAAUACCUCAUAGUGUAGGAUGAGCCUACCUCGUAUCAGUUAGUUGGUAAGGUAAUGGCUUACCAAGGCUAUGACGCGUAACUGGUCUGAGAGGAUGAUCAGUAACAUUGGAACUGAGACACAGUCAAAAAACCGACCGGAGGCAGCAGUAAGGAAUAGUGCGCAAGGGGGGAAACCCUAGAACAGCAGCGCGGCGUGGAGGAUGACACUUGGCGGAGCGUAAACUCCUUUUAUCAGGAAAGCGGUACCUGAUGAAUAAGCACCGGCUAACUCCGUGCCAGCAGCCGCGGUAAUUC